GUUUUACUCAAAUACCCAACAGUAUUAAAUAAAUUGAAUAAUUAAAAUAACUGUUAUGUAUGUAAUAUAAACAUCCAUAUUUCCCCAACAGUGCGGGGGACGAAGAAAAACAAGAAGAAUAUAAACAUAACCUCAAAGGUUGUUAGUGGAAAUAUAUGGUAAAAAAUGUGAGUCAGAGAAGUAAAAGAGACUGACAGUUUAAAUAAUGUUUUGGUUAGAAGGCAGACACAGUCCAGUGGUCCAUAGUAAAUUGCCUUCUAAGCAAAUAAUAAGUAUGUUCACAUCAGCUAAAGAUUCAAAUAAUCCUACUCCAAGCUUACAGUUAUAGAAACUGAACAGAGAAUAAACUAAAUUAAGGAAUUAUCUACUGUCAACCUCCAAUUGAAGCCAAAUUUAUUAUUUAAUAUUUUUAGAGGACAAUGACUGAAGAUGCAUUGACAAAACAAUGAUAUUAGAUAUUUCAUGCAGCCCACCAGUAACCAGGCUAUUGAAGGAAAAACCAGCGGUACACCACUACCUGGAUCCUUCCAAACCCUCAGGCGCCGGCUGUCAGUCAUGAAACUAAACUUGGACAGGUCUGAAAAAAAAAACGUUCCUCCACUGCGGUAAAAGCCAAUUUACGUGCUUUUAAGCCCAUUCUAGACUGCUUGUCUCAACUGUCGUCGGAGCAACCACGUGGAUUUUUGGUGUUUUUGUCCACUGUAUGCUACAUUUGUACUGGUCAUGUUUGUAACUAAGGAAAACCAAGGGUCACCUGUUAGUGCAUGAAAAUAGUGACUAAGAGUCGUGUUUUCAUCGAACCCAGCCCAUCUGAAAAUGCCCAGGCGUCCUAAAUUAGGAAUACGGAGAGAUUGGCAAAGAUAUAUCUAUCAAGCUGGAGGUUUUGAAAAAGAAUUUCUACAAAGUGAAUUAUUGAAGUCGUAGACGAUAGAGCAAAGAGGAAGAGAAAGAACCACAUCUAAAAGAAAGAUGAUUCAACUAAAUAUAUAACGGUUAGAUGUUUCCGGUCGGGGUAUGAUAACAAGCUUCUUCAAAAUUUAAUAAGCCAAUGGUGAGAAGAACAUUGAGGUGUGACGUCUUGUUAUACAUUGUAUUAAUUGAAGAAAUACUAAGAACAACCAGUAUCCAGAAGAAUAUAUGAG